UUCAGCAGCCAUAUCACCCUGCAGCCCAAGACUGGUUGCCCACUGAAGCUAAGCAGGGUUGAGCCUGAUCAGUACCUGGAUGGGAGACCUGGGGUAAACUAGAUUGCAGCUGGAA
rnacentral:rRNA from 1 species